rnacentral:rRNA from 1 species
GACAGAGGGUGCAAACGUUGUUCGGAAUUACUGGGCGUAAAGCGUGUGUAGGCGGCCAUGCAAGUCGGAUGUGAAAGCCCCGGGCUCAACCCGGGAAGUGCACUCGAUACUGCGUGGCUAGAGUAUCGGAGAGGUUGGUGGAAUUCUCGGUGUAGAGGUGAAAUUCAUAGAUAUCGAGAGGAACACCUGUGGCGAAGGCGGCCAACUGGACGAAUACUGACGCUGAGACACGAAAGCGUGGGGAGCAAACGGG